rnacentral:lncRNA from 1 species
GUUGGGAUCACCUGGAGAGGUUUUCAAAAUCUUGAUACUAAAUGAAAUCAGAAUUUCUGGGCUUGUGAUCCAGGCAAUAGUAUUGGUUAAAUAUCUCCAGUUGAUUCCAAUGUGCAAUCAAUGUUGAGGACUAUUAUACAAGUUGGAUACAGCCCAUGUAAUUACAUAUUUCAAGCCCCAGAUCAGAACAUAUAUGAUAGCUAUCAUUUCUUGAGUGCCUGUUCUGACAGGGAUUCUGAUAUCCUUAUCUUUUUCUCAGGAAAAACCUUAAUUGGGUGACAGUACAAUUACUUUUCACAUAUGAGGAACGGAGGAGGUAGGUAGCUUACUUUAUAUCCUAUAGCUGGAGGAUACAGCUAACUCCAAAGUCCAGAUUCUUUAACGCAGCUGACUAUUACAACAAUGUGAGAUUGAUGGGGUUUAUGUUUCAGAUAUGAGACAAUUAUGUGUUGUAGGGAGAGCAUCAAAAAGUUGAGAAUUUAUAGACAUUUCAGUGACUUAUAGGAAAUAUAGGCAGCAAAUUGGAAUCACAGCUGAUUUAGAAUCAGACACAUGUUAGCUAUAGCUGACAUCUCCUAAAUCUUUGAAAUCACUAGAUUUCGAAAAAGAAGCCUAGAUUUUUUCCACUGAGUAAAUGGGGAAAUCAAGACUGUUUUGGUUCAAGACCAGUCAAUCUAGGAGUUGAACCCAUUUGAGGAGAGCAUUGGCAAUGGCUGUUCCUACCACUUCUUUCGUAGUGUUUUUAAGAGUGGGCUGGCGAGAAUGUGGGGGAAAACGUACACUUACUUGUACAUUGCUGGUGGGACUGCAAAUUGGUGCAGCCAAUUUGGAAAGUAAGGAGAUUCCUUGGAAAGCUGGGAAUGGAACCACCAUUUGACCCAGCUAUUCCCCUUCUUGGACUAUACCCAAAAGACCUAAAAAGAGCAUACUACAGGGACACAGCUACAUCAAUGUUCAUAGCAGCACAAUUCACAAUAGCUAGAAUGUGGAACCAACCUAGAUGCCCUUCAAUAGAUGAAUGGAUAAAAAAAUGUGGCAUUUAUACACAAUGGAAUAUUACUCAGCACUAAAAAAUAACAAAAUCAUGGCAUUUGCAGGGACAUGGAUGGCAUUAGAGCAGAUUAUGCUAAGUGAAGUUAGCCAAUCCCUAAAAAAACAAAUGCCAAAUGUUUUCUUUGAUAUAAGAGGGGCGACUCAAAACAGAGUAAGGAGGAAGAGCAUGAGAAGAAGAUUACCACUAAAC